GGGGGGGGGGGGGGGUGGGGCGGGGGCAUGGAAGGCGAGCGGCAGCACAGUAAGAGCUGGCUCUUAGGGGUGGCGAGUGGCGGACGGGUGGGGAAUAAGUCGGACUCUACUUUUUCGUGGGGGGUAACGUAGGGAAACUUACGCUAAUACCGCAUACGACCUACGGGUGAAAGCAGGGGAUCUUCGGACCUUGCGCGAUUGAGUGAGCCGAUGUCGGCUUAGCUAGUUGGCGGGGUAAAGGCCCACCAAGGCGACGAACCGUAGCUGGUCUGAGAGGAUGAUCAGUCAAACUGGAACUGAGACACGGUCCAGACUCCUACGGGAGGCAGCAGUGGGGAAUAUUGGACCAUGGGCGCAAGCCUGAUCCAGCCAUACCGCGUGGGUGAAGAAGGCCUUCGGGUUGUAAAGCCCUUUUGUUGGGAAAGAAAAGCAGCAGGUUAAUACCCCGCUGUUCUGACGGUACCCAAAGAAUAAGCACCGGCUAACUUCGUG
rnacentral:rRNA from 1 species